AUGGCUUGGAAGAUGCUGGUGCCUGAAGGUGAAGACACCUCCAUACUGAGGCUAGGUCCAUGCUGCUGGAUGUCUGUGGGCAGCUGGAAUGAGCCCUCCGCACACCCGGCUAGGAGAAAAGAGAUGAGAUCCUGCUCAGUUCCCACUGAGACAAGGUUUACUUUAGUUUUACUUCGUUUAAUGUUGACCACGAAAAUGAUAUUAUUCAUCCCAAUUCCACUUCAGUAUGCAAGCUUCGAGUCUAGAUCAGAGACUGUACACAAGGAACCCGUCUCUCUGUGAAUUUAAACUUAAGGAAGGAGCCUGCACUGCCUUCUUUGUCUGGCAUUCUUCCUCUGAGACCUGGUCUGGCUCUGCAGGGGCAGUGCCCGUGUGCAGGGGUGCAGAGGAAAAGAGUCCCAUCCCAGCAGCACGGCCAGGGAGCACCAGCGCUUG
rnacentral:lncRNA from 1 species